GACGAACGCUGGCGGCGUGCUUAACACAUGCAAGUCGAACGCUGAAGCUCAGCUUUUGUUGGGUGGAUGAGUGGCGAACGGGUGAGUAACACGUGAGUAACCUGCCUCCUUCUUCGGGAUAACGCCCGGAAACGGGUGCUAAUACUGGAUAUUCACUGGUCUUCGCAUGGGGGUUGGUGGAAAGGGUUUUUCUGGUGGGGGAUGGGCUCGCGGCCUAUCAGCUUGUUGGUGGGGUGAUGGCCUACCAAGGCUUUGACGGGUAGCCGGCCUGAGAGGGUGACCGGUCACAUUGGGACUGAGAUACGGCCCAGACUCCUACGGGAGGCAGCAGUGGGGAAUAUUGCACAAUGGGCGCAAGCCUGAUGCAGCGACGCCGCGUGAGGGAUGGAGGCCUUCGGGUUGUGAACCUCUGUCGCUCAUGGUCAAGCCGCAACAAUGGUUGUGGUGAGGGUAGUGGGUAAAGAAGCGCCGGCUAACUACGUG
rnacentral:rRNA from 1 species